CGUUCCUCCUUGGAAGUUGAACCAUUAACGGCUCUCUUCCCAUCUCACAACGACCACCUUGUCCUCCACCACCACCUCUCUCUCUCUCUCUCUCUCUCUCCCCCAAAAAUGCCGAAAACACCCUUCGCGGCGAUCCUCGCCGCCGCCCUGAUCUCCAUCCUCGUCUCCGGCGCCACCGGCGAGAUCAAAAACCUAAAAAUCAUCGCGGACGACCGACCCAUGAUCCUCUUCGAGAAGUUCGGGUUCACCCACACCGGCCACGUGAACAUCACGGUCUCCGGCGUGUCCGUGACCUCCUCCGUGGCCAGCCCCGACCCCUCCCGGCUGGGCUUCUUCCUCCUCUCGGAAGAAUCCCUGAUCCAAGUCCUCCUCCAACUCCAACAAUCCCCCAAUCUCUGCGUCCUCGAUUCCAACUUCAUCCUCCAACUCUUCACCUUCCGCGAUCUCUCUCCUCCUCCUCACUCCUCCAUCAACCACUCCUCCACCGUCUCUUCCCCCAACGAGUACAGCCUCUUCUUCUCCAACUGCGCCGUUCAAAGCCAGGUCAACAUGGACGUUCGAACCGACCUCUACAACCUCGACAAUGGCGGAAUCAAGGAUUAUCUCUCUGCUGGCCUCACUCACCUCCCUUCAAUCUUCUUCCUCUUCUCUAUUUCCUAUUUCGGAUUUCUAGGGUUUUGGAUCUCUUUUUGUUUUCAAAACAAACGAUCGGUUCAUCGGAUCCAUCUUCUCAUGUCUGGAUUGCUCUUGAUGAAGGCUCUCAAUCUCAUCUGCGCUGCCGAGGACAAGCAUUACGUCAAAGUUACCGGUACGCCUCACGGAUGGGAUGUUCUGUUCUAUAUUUUUCAGUUCAUUAGGGUUGUGUUGUUGUUUACUGUGAUUGUUUUGAUUGGGACUGGUUGGUCGUUUUUGAAACCGUUUUUGCAAGACAAGGAGAAGAAAGUGUUGAUGAUUGUGAUUCCCCUUCAGGUUUUAGCCAAUGUGGCUUCGAUUGUGAUUGGCGAAACCGGGCCGUUUAUCAAGGAUUGGGUUACUUGGAACCAGGUGUUCUUGUUGGUUGAUAUUGUGUGUUGUUGUGCCAUUAUUUUCCCAAUUGUGUGGUCGAUUAGGUCUUUGAGAGAGACGUCGAAGACGGAUGGGAAGGCCGCGAGGAAUUUGGCGAAAUUAACCCUUUUUAGGCAGUUCUAUAUUGUGGUGAUUGGGUACUUGUAUUUCACUAGGAUUGUUGUUUUUGCUCUCAAGACGAUUUCGGCAUAUAAGUACCAAUGGGUGAGUAAUGCGGCUGAGGAAAUCGCGAGUCUUGCGUUUUAUAUGGUGAUGUUUUAUAUGUUCAGGCCAGCUGAGAAGAAUGAGUACUUUGUUCUCAAUGAGGAGGAAGAAGAGGCUGCAGAGAUGGCCCUUCGGGACGAAGAGUUUGAGCUCUGAAGUUUCUAAAGGAGGAGAUUUUGUCGAUUUUGCUGCUCUUCCAGUUGCUCGCUGCAGGAAGUAUCCUUCUAGUAAGGUAAAGGAAAUCAUGAACGUUUCCGAGCGAAGGGCUCUCAGUGACAGAGUUACUGCUCAUGAUCGUGGAUAUAGCUGGAGGGCAGGGCUGGUCACAAAAUCACUGUAUUUCAUGUUAGAUGAUAUCUAAGGGAAAUUAGAAAUACACUUUCUUUUGUUCUUGUUCUUCUAUGUUAUUUUUGGUCUUAAACAAUGUUGACCACUUUAUUAUCAUGUUAUGUAUGCUCUGUUGAGUUCUCUGAAAAAUGUAUCAUAUUGGAAGAAUCGAUUCAUAAAUCAAAUAGUAGUUUAUUUGGAGACCAUUUUUAGUUGGG